rnacentral:rRNA from 1 species
AUUGAACGCUGGCGGCAGGCCUAACACAUGCAAGUCGAACGGUAACAGGAAGAAGCUUGCUUCUUUGCUGACGAGUGGCGGACGGGUGAGUAAUGUCUGGGAAACUGCCUGAUGGAGGGGGAUAACUACUGGAAACGGUAGCUAAUACCGCAUAACGUCGCAAGACCAAAGAGGGGGACCUUCGGGCCUCUUGCCAUCGGAUGUGCCCAGAUGGGAUUAGCUAGUAGGUGGGGUAACGGCUCACCUAGGCGACGAUCCCUAGCUGGUCUGAGAGGAUGACCAGCCACACUGGAACUGAGACACGGUCCAGACUCCUACGGGAGGCAGCAGUGGGGAAUAUUGCACAAUGGGCGCAAGCCUGAUGCAGCCAUGCCGCGUGUAUGAAGAAGGCCUUCGGGUUGUAAAGUACUUUCAGCGGGGAGGA